CCAAUAGCGUAUAUUAAAGUUGUUGCAGUUAAAAAGCUCGUAGUUGAAUUUCGGGAUUAGUACGUUGGUCGUGCCUUAGGUACGUACUGGUGUUACUGGUUCCUACCUUCUGACGAACCAUCAUGUCAUUAAUUUGGUGUGGCGGGGAAUCAGGACUGUUACUUUGAAAAAAUUAGAGUGUUUAAAGCAGGCUCGCGCUUGAAUACAUUA
rnacentral:rRNA from 1 species